rnacentral:rRNA from 1 species
UACGGGGGGAGCAAGCGUUGUUCGGAUUUACUGGGCGUAAAGGGCGCGUAGGCGGCCACCGCAAGUCACUUGUGAAAUCUCCGGGCUUAACUCGGAAAGGUCAACUGAUACUGUGCGACUAGAGUGCAGAAGGGGCAACUGGAAUUCUCGGUGUAGCGGUGAAAUGCGUAGAUAUCGAGAGGAAUACCUGCGGCGAAGGCGGGUUGCUGGGGUGACACUGACGCUGAGGCGCGAAAGCCAGGGGAGCGAACGGG